AGUGCGGGGCUGGCGGGAGCCGAGUGCGGGCCCCGGCCCGGCUCCGCAGCCCCCAGCCGGCCGUGGGCCGUCGCGCCGGGUGAGCGGCCCCUCGGCCCGGCCCGAGCCGCCGCAGCGCCGCCGUCCCUCGCCGCAGGUGCCACCGCCGCGUCCCGGGGAGAGGAAGCGCCGCGGGCCCAGCCGGCGGCCGCCGAGGCCGGGGAGGAGCCGCCGGAGAAGCGAUGCAGGAAGCCAUUGCCAUAACGGAGCAGCCAGUCUCUGUCUCUGUCCCGGUGGGAUAUUCCUUUGUGCUGCGGUGCCGGGCCCAGGGACACACUUCACUGCAGUACCAGUGGUUUUGUCAGUACCAGUCUGACUGCCGCUUGAUUCCUGGAGCAACCAAUGAAGACUUGCCCAUCAUUGCAGAGCAGACCCAGCUCUACACCUGCAGAGUCAAUGACCUCCACAGAAAUGUUGUCUUCUCUGACUGGGUGAAGGUAGAGGUCCAUCAGUGUGUUGCCAGAGGUCUGCCCCCUCAGCUGUGGCAAGGAGAACCGGUCAUUGUCCUCAACCCCAGUGAGCAACGGGUGGAGCUGGGGCAGCCGCUGCAGCUGCAGUGUGCUGCCAUGGGGGUCCCAGCCCCCAGCUACCAGUGGUACCGCAAUGGGAACCUGCUGGAGCAGCAGAAGAGAAAAAAACUCCGGAUUGCCCACACCAAGGCCAGUGACUCUGGCACAUACCUCUGUUGUGCCUCCAACAGUCAUGGAGAGCAUUGGACCAACGCCGUGGAUGUUCAUGUCGGUAUGUGUGCCUCUGGAAAGUUUUUUGCUACAGGCAAAAUAGCACUUUUGGUGGGCAACAACCGCUACCAGCAUCAUCCCAACCUCAUGGCUCCUGUGAGGGAUGUGUUUGAGCUGCGUCGUCUUCUGGAGCUUCUGGGCUUCCAGGUUGUCUCCCUGCUGGAUCUGAACAAGGCUGAGAUGGCGACAGCGGUCAGUCGCUUCCUGCAGCUCCUGGGGAAGGGAGUCUAUGCUAUAUUCUACUAUGCUGGGCAUGGGUAUGAACAUCUGGGGAGGAACUACAUGGUCCCUGUUGAUGCUCCACAACCCUAUGCCCCUGAGAACUGCAUCAGCGUGCAGAGGAUCCUCCAGAAGAUGCAGCAGCAGCAGACGGCCCUGAACAUCAUCCUGCUGGACACCUGCAGGAAGUGGUACAACCCAGGGUGUGCCUUGUCCCAGGUGCAGCCGCUGGAGCCCUGGGGAAACACUGUCUAUGGCUAUUCCACGAGUGAAGAUGCAGAAGCCUAUGAAUUGCAGGAUGGGGAGUUCAGCUCAGGAAUCUUCAUGAAAUAUCUGAAGAAACACAUUCUGCAAGAGAAGAAAGUGACACACAUGCUGGAGGAUGUGUUAGAGGAUAUUGGCCAUGAUCCCCUGGUCGCUGGCAAGCAGGUGAUGGAGAUCAAGCACACUCUGAAGGAAGCUCGGUCCCUGACUGACCCCAUCUGUCCCUCGGGAGAAGCCCUUGAGCCCUGGGAGCACAGCCAAGAGCUGCCCAGCAAAACAGUGACCUUCCCAUGUGGGGUGCGGGUGGAGCUCUGCUUCCUCCGGCUCUUCUCCAACCUGAUGUUUGUGUGUGCCAAGCCACAGCCACCCCUGGGCCACGUCACUGACCCCCAGCUCCUGCUCCACCAGCUCACUGAGAUGGGUGACGUGGCCAUCCAGAGGGAGAGCUGUCUGGACCAUGUGGAGACUCUGCUCGCCUCUGUGUACCAGCGGGAGGAGCUGGACUGCAUCUUCCAGCUCUGUGCACUGCAGAAGAUUCAGACAGAUGUGGUCCUGCAGUUGGAUUUGCAUUACAUCCGGCCAGGCACAAAACAGAGGACUUGUGAAAGCCUGCAAACGACCCUCCAGCAGUCCCUGCUGAGGCAGUUUUUCAGCCAGAAGAGUGACUCGCAGUCAGGCUCGCAGCAAACUCCUGCCCGCGCAGGCAGUGCGCGCCCGCAAGAUGCGCCGGCGCUGAGCACGGACCCCAAGGGCCAGGGGUUCCUGAGCACAGGCUCUGGCCACAGCUUGCCCAGCAGCAGCCCCUCCAACUUCAGCAGCGAGCCUGAGGAGAAUGAUGAGAGCGACCUGGGCGAGCUCUGCUUGGCGCUGCUUCGGGCUGGCCCGGGGCAGGACGGGCCCUGAGCCUCAGCCUUGGGAGCUGCUCUUUUAACUGAGGCCUCAAUUUGAGUGCUAAAUCUGUCAGGAUCCCAGCCUUGGCAUCGCCCUGUCUGAAUGAGGCCAAGGCUGCUUUUUUGGAAAGGUUUCUCCUGUCUGCACCCUGUGGUGUGCAGGGCCUCACUUCCCACUGGGAAUAUUCCCUGUCCCCUGGGAGCGUCGGGAUCCGCAGGGAUUCGUUGUGGUGUCUGGUGGAGGACACGGCCACCCACCAGCAUAAUGCUGCCAGGCAAAGGUGCAGGCUGGUGUUUCUGCCUGAAGACAAACGUUGCUGCAUUGGAUGUGGUGGGUAGCCCACAAACACUACAGACCACUCUGGCUCAAAUCCCAGCCAUGACUGCUGGAUCUCACCAACCUGUGCAAGGGACGCAGGGCUGGGGAGCCAGGUGAAAUAGUGUCAGCUCUCCACAGGGUCCCAGUGUGGCUUCCUUCCCACACCUGUGUCAAAGCAGGUGUUAAGUUAUGCAUUUAUGUAUUUCUGAAGCACGUAUUUAUAACUGGGAGGCUGGACAGUGGCUUGCCAGGAAAAGGAAGGUCAGAUGUUCCAUCCAGUGUGUGUUUACAUUGGAGGCUGGUGUUCCACUGGACCAGGAACAGUGUCCAGGCAGGUGCACUGACACCUGCCCCAUGCACCAUGGUACAGGGGCAUUACAGUGUGUUCAGCCCUCUCCAGUCCUGAGUUCUUCUCAGGUGCAGCAUGUCCUUCAGGAGAGAUAGAAUGUACCAGGACUGAGAAAGGAUAAUUUCAAAGAAGUUAUUAUUAGUGCAAAUUGUUUUGUCUGUGUGCCUGUCUGUGCUGUGGACAGCCUCAAGCACUACGUGGAGAGCCAGCUGUCCAGGGAGAGCCCCAGCUGAAGAGAGCACAAAGGACAGCUUGGGUGGGCACAUGCCCCUCCCUGAUUGUUUCCCUAAUGCAUGUUUGAUAAAGGUAUUGCUCAGUGACCCUAGGGAAGUGUGGGGUCUCCUUCCUUGGAGGACAGUUCACUUUGGACUGCAGAAGAUGCCAAUGACCUGAUCUAAGCUGGCUGAGGGCUGGACCAGAGACCACUGGAGAUCCCUUCUGGCCGCUGUGGUCCUGUGGAGCAAAGAGGUUGGAGGGCGGAACUUCUUGAGAGGUCAAGGGUAGCAGGGUAGGGAGAAUGGCCAAGCUGUGACUUGCUUUAAAAGAGAGUUGGAGGCAGAAUUUUCUCAGUUUUGCUCUCCUUCAGCAGUGAAGAUACAUCUCUGUCUGUGGUGUCAGUUGCAGCACAGAAAAAUCUGAAAUGUUGCUUCCAGAUAAAGCAUUCUACAAGUGCUGUCCAAAAAGAACAGAGGAGGCUUUUAUUAUUCUCACAGUGAGUAGCGCCAAGGGAAAGAAGAGGGGCCCCAGCUGGCUGCAGACUAGGAAGUCUCCUAGAAAAAAAAUAAAUAAAAAAUUCAGAGGAUGUAGUUUAACUGAGAUGGGCUGAUAGAGAAGCUAAACCAGAAAUUAAUAAACUGAUUUCAGGAAGAACCAAAGAUCAACCCAACACCACCAGGCACUGGGGACAGGUCAGUGGGAAUGGCUUAGCAGGCAUUUGGGAGGAGCUGGGGCUCUCAUUGCCUCUGGGGAUUAUUCACACCUGUGCUGUUGAGGCAUGGCUUUUUCCUGGCUCACAUUAUCAUGCCAAGUGUCAUGUAACGUGAAUGUUUAUCUCAUUCAAAGCAAGGCUGUUUAUUUUUUCUGAAUAAAACACUAUUGGUGUUUUUAGUGUACAAAGCUUCACGUGACUCUGAGUUAACUGUUUAUUUUCCCUCUAAUUGGCAGGGUGUAACUUAAUAUUGAUCUGCUGGGGUUUCAUGCUUCCAGCUUGAGCUUCUAGGCUCUUCUAGAUGGAUGCCCUUCUUUUCCUCUCUGCUAGGGCAGAUGUGUUGAAGAGAAGGACCUUGGACAACAGCCUGGUAUGUUCUGCUGCAGAAUUCAUUUGGGAUGCAGUUCUCAGCUCAUUUGCUGAGGUUUGGCAGUUCCUGACAAAAAAAGGCAAGCGUACCCAAAAGGAUUGAGAAAACAAGGCAGUGAAAAUCAGAGCAAUCAGGGAAUCUCGGAAACCAUUUCAGUCUGUUACUGGAAAACCCUGGGCCCAAGUGUAGUCAAGAGGUGUGUUAUAUGAGCGCUGGCAGAUCCACCCAGCCUGACACCCUUCUGUUGGCAGCAGAUUCCUAAAGGUUUGUUGUCAGUUGGCAUUUUUGUGAUCAAAGGAAGGAGAAGGUGGAUUUGUUUCACAUCAGCCACAUGCCAGCCUCAACCAAAAAAAGAAACACAAGACAAAUCCUUCAUUUCAGGAGUCAUUUCUGGGGGGAAAAAAUUCAGUGUGGGGCAAUGUCGAGUAAUUUCAUUUACCAGCUCUUUCCAUCUUUUUGGAACAAAUCCUUCUCCCUCACAGGAAUAAAUCUGAAUUUACUCUUCAGAAACUGGUAGGUUCUCCUUAUUUUCCCUGUUAAGAGGUUUUCCAUGAUGUACAGAACCUGCCAGAUCAUUUCCUACUCCGCAUUACGGGGCAGAGUGUAGGGUCCUGUUGAUGGAAUAUGCUUGCAGUGUAAUAAAACAUAUAGAGGGACAUGCAGGGAAAUUGCAAGAUUCAACAAUAUAGUUUCGGUCUUUCCCUAGUUUUUGGAAGUAGCUUCUCAUACAGGCAGGAGAGAUCCCAAAGACAUUCAGGGGCUGUUCACUCCUAGGGAAGGAAGGAGCUUCCCAAAGGGCAGGUUAUUGUGUUCUCUAGAAGUUAAUGCUUCCUUUUGUGUGGACAGGGAGUGAAGAGGAUGAUCUUGUGAGCUGAUAUGAUACAGGAAUCACCUGUUUUCUGAAAUGCUGAGGAUUGCUGUCAUUAGCUGAGGAUCACUGGAAGUCAACUUGCUCUGAGCACAACAGGACCGUGCACAAGGCAAUAACAGGCUCAGUACUUGUGAGGAGGGAACUGUUAAAUGCAGGUGCUGCUCUCACAGCCAGUGAGUCACAGAAGGCCUUUAUCCAUCAUGUUUUGCACAUGGAGACAUCCACAGCUCUGCUCUCCUCUCUCCCAGUGCUGGCAACUGUCCUGCUUCCAGCAGAACAUUGAAUCAUGUCCCUCCCAAGCAACACUGUGGUUGUGCUACCAGAAUACUCCCAGAAGAGUGCUUGUGUUCUGAGCGAUUCUGAGCACCAAACUGGGAGUUUCAGGACUGUUUCAGUGAAAUAUCCCUGCUCCCUGUCCAAGGAGCAAACAAGCACAUUGGUUCAGCUCAGCUGGUUUCAAAACUUACAAAACUAAACUCAUGGCAGGGCAAGAGAAUAAGGGAAAAGUGGUAAAACAGUUCAUUUGAAAAUGUCAGAUGGCUCAGAUUCAGUUCUUCCAGGCCCCCCCAUCAGGUGGAUGAUUCAGGAAUGAAACCAGGAGCACAGUUAGAAACAAAAGGGGUGAGUGGAGCUGUCAAGCCCUGUCAAGCUGAUAAACCCAAGAUGACUCAAGGAGAUUUACACUGCCAACCUUCAUGUGGGCACCUCUGCAGAGACCUGGGGCACCUCUUUGGAAAGCAGAUGGUGUCAUGGUGAAGCUUGCAGACCACGAUUUUCUUAUUAAUGGUGAGAAAUUAUUGAUAGCACAGACUUUUCAUGUUGUCCCAGAGUUCUGUCCUCUAUCACAGAUUAUUUCAAUGACUGUUUUACCAUUGUUACUAAUCUCUUGAAAUUAGGUCUGUAACAUCAUGUGACAGUGAAGAGAAAAACACCAUCAAAAAAAGGCUCCUUGAAGUGCUUGAAAUUUCUUAUCUUCACAGUUUGGAUAACCUUUUUCAUAACAAGCAACAAUUUCAGAUAUUGGUCAUAUCACCCCCUCAAAGAGAUAGAAGACACACUUUGAAAUUACAGACCAGACUUCAUGCGCAAGAGAAGAACUGACACAGUGUCACGCAGUAAGGAAGAACUAAUGUCUCUUUGAUAAAUCUGUCUUCACUAAGUUGGGUUUUCUUGCCACAGUGUCAGGAAUAGUUGACGAGACAGACGUGUUAUUAAGUGGUAAAAAUAAACAGAUGGAAGAGACAAGUGAGAGAUUUCAGCUAUGACUUUCCAGAAUGUUUCAGCAGAGAAUAACCUCCUCAAUUCCAUUC